GCCUCUGUGGAUCAGGGUAGAUCACCUCGAGAUUGUACGAAGCCAACUUUGACAAAAAUUGAGGAGGAAAUGUGGGUUCAAAUCCCACCGGAGGCA